CAUAUUUGCUGGCAUGCCACACCAAACUUGUUGAGCCAUCACUCACUUCCAAACAGACUUUGAAUGGAGACCUUGUGAAAAAACUGUUUCAUCAGAAGUCAAUUUAUGUCAGACCUGACAAGGUCAUUUAAUGUGAGGACAAUGAAUCAACAUAUUCUGAUGGAGAAAUACAAGCAGGCAGGAUUUCACAGAAACUGUAAAUUCUGACAAAUGUGUAAAUAUCUUGGCCUGUUUGAGGAAGAAUACCUGUGAGAUGACCCCAAACUCCAAGAAGCCAUUUCAAGGUCUUUAGACUCAAGUGCAAGUGAAAGAAAAGGAGUCACUUACUGGGUUGUUUUGGAUCAGUUUGAAUAAGCAAACUACAAAUUGCAACCUGUGAUUUGAAGAUUACCAAGGCUAUCAGAUUAAUUAUAUUUUACUUGAUAUAUGUUUUGUUUUUUUACUUUUUUGAAUGGUGGUUGGUUGUCAGUGUUGGAUCUUGGUUUUUUUUUUUUGUCUUGUUCUACUUGUAUUUAUGUAGUGUAUUUAUAUUAUUUAUAAAUACUAGUGUAUUUAUGACAAGAUCAUUUUUGACAAGAUUUGUAUCUCUUUUUUGUUAAAUUACAGUCUUAAGGAUGGUACAACAUUAGUCUGCUGGUGGGUUAUUGCCAUUGAGACAAGUAUAUUUCUUUACCGGUUGUGUGUGUGUGUGUGUGUGUGUGUGUGUAUGUAUGUAUCUAUACAUCUCACUUACACCAUGAGCUGUUUCCUGUUGUUCUCGUUAUGAUCUUGAGUUUCACAUCCUGAGCACAUCCUGUACCAACUUUACCAUACAAGCAAAAAAUUUCUUUUAAUACCCUAUGAUUUGCACAUUUAUUAACUUCUGGAAAUACUGCUACAUUAUGUGUGUAUAUACAUAUAUAUAUAUAUUAAUAUAUAUAUAUAUAUAUAUAUUAGAGAUGGCACGAUACCACUUUUUUAUGUCCGAUACCGAUACCAUAAAUUUGGAUAUAUGCCGAUACCAAUAUGAAU